rnacentral:rRNA from 1 species
ACAAAGCCGCGAGGUGGAGCAAAUCCCCAAAAGGCGUCUCAGUUCGGAUUGCAGGCUGCAACUCGCCUGCAUGAAGCUGGAAUUGCUAGUAAUCGUGGAUCAGCAUGCCACGGUGAAUACGUUCCCGGGCCUUGUACACACCGCCCGUCACACCAUGGGAGCCGGUAAUACCCGAAGUCAGUAGUCUAACCGCAAGGAGGACGCUGCCGAAGGUAGGAUUGGCGACUGGGGUGAAGUCGUAACAAGGUAGC